rnacentral:rRNA from 1 species
AUUGAACGCUGGCGGCAUGCUUUACACAUGCAAGUCGGACGGCAGCACAGAGAAGCUUGCUUCUUGGGUGGCGAGUGGCGAACGGGUGAGUAAUAUAUCGGAACGUACCGAGUAAUGGGGGAUAACUAAUCGAAAGAUUAGCUAAUACCGCAUAUUCUCUGAGGAGGAAAGCAGGGGACCUUCGGGCCUUGCGUUAUUCGAGCGGCCGAUAUCUGAUUAGCUAGUUGGUGGGGUAAAGGCCUACCAAGGCGACGAUCAGUAGCGGGUCUGAGAGGAUGAUCCGCCACACUGGGACUGAGACACGGCCCAGACUCCUACGGGAGGCAGCAGUGGGGAAUUUUGGACAAUGGGCGCAAGCCUGAUCCAGCCAUGCCGCGUGUCUGAAGAAGGCCUUCGGGUUGUAAAGGACUUUUGUCAGGGAAGAAAAGGCUGUUGCUAAUACCGACAGCUGAUGACGGUACCUGAAGAAUAAGCACCGGCUAACUACGUGCCAGCAGCCGCGGUAAUACGUAGGGUGCGAGCGUUAAUCGGAAUUACUGGGCGUAAAGCGAGCGCAGACGGUUACUUAAGCAGGAUGUGAAAUCCCCGGGCUCAACCUGGGAACUGCGUUCUGAACUGGGUGACUAGAGUGUGUCAGAGGGAGGUAGAAUUCCACGUGUAGCAGUGAAAUGCGUAGAGAUGUGGAGGAAUACCGAUGGCGAAAGGCAGCCUCCUGGGAUAACACUGACGUUCAUGCUCGAAAGCGUGGGUAGCAAACAGG